GGUGGUGGUGGAGAUGGUGGUGGUGGUGGUGUUGGUGGGAGUGCUAUGAGAUACGACGCGGAAGAGAAAGGAGAUGGCCGUGGAGAGAAAGGACUACUUAAUGUGGAAGAGAAAGCUCGUCGAAUGAAGGACCGAAGGAAAGGGAGAAGGAGAGGAGAUAGGCAGCAGGGUGUUGUGGGAGGAGCACGAGACGCGGAAAAAGAACGCACAUCGUGGAAGGAUAUACGCUAAUGCACGAGAAGGACGACGACGACGACGAGAACGAUGGCGAGAACGAUGGCGACGACGACGAUGACGACGAUGAUGAGAAACUCUGAGACCGCGUCGGGCAAGAACAAACGAACAACAAGAACGAACGAACGAAUAAACGAAUAAACGAACGAACGAACGAACGAACGAACGAA